rnacentral:rRNA from 1 species
GCGAUGGCCGUCGUCAGUUCGUACUGUGAAGCAUCCUGUUAAGUCAGGCAACGAGCGAGACCCACGCCCACAGUUGCCAGCGUACUCUCCGGAGUGACGGGUACACUGUGGGGACCGCCGCUGCUAAAGCGGAGGAAGGAAUGGGCAACGGUAGGUCAGUAUGCCCCGAAUAUCCCGGGCUACACGCGAGCUACAAUGGUUGGUACAAUGGGUAUCUACCCCGAAAGGGGACGGAAAUCUCCUAAAACCAAUCUUAGUUCGGAUUGAGGGCUGCAACUCGCCCUCAUGAAGCUGGAAUCCGUAGUAAUCGCGUUUCAACAGAACGCGGUGAAUACGUCCCUGCUCCUU